CAAUAGCGUAUAUUAAAGUUGUUGCAGUUAAAAAGCUCGUAGUUGGAUUUCUGGUGGGAGCGACCGGUCGGCGCUUAACGGCGUGUGCACUGGAGUUGUCUCUUGCCAUCCUUGAGGAGAACGUGUCUGGCAUUAAGUUGUCGGGCUUGGGAUCCUCAUCGUUUACUGUGAAAAAAUUAGAGUGUUUAAAGCAGGCAUUUGCUGUGAAUACAUUAGCAUGGAAUAAUAAGAUAGGACUUUGGUGCUAUUUUGUUGGUUUGCGUACCAAGGUAAUGAUUAAUAGGGAUAGUUGGGGGUAUUCGUAUUCAAUUGUCAGAGGUGAAAUUCUUGGAUUUAUGGAAGACGAACAACUGCGAAAGCAUUUACCAAGGAUGUUUUCAUUAA
rnacentral:rRNA from 1 species